UUUUAUGGAGAGUUUGAUCCUGGCUCAGGACGAACGCUGGCGGCGUGCCUAAUACAUGCAAGUCGAGCGGACGUUUUGUUGGUGCUUGCACCGACUUAACGUUAGCGGCGGACGGGUGAGUAACACGUGGGCAACCUGCCCUGUAGUCUGGGAUAACUCCGGGAAACCGGGGCUAAUACCGGAUGAUACUUUUUGAUUCAUGUCAGAAAGUUGAAAGAUGGUUUACGCUAUCGCUACAGGAUGGGCCCGCGGCGCAUUAGCUAGUUGGUGAGGUAACGGCUCACCAAGGCAACGAUGCGUAGCCGACCUGAGAGGGUGAUCGGCCACACUGGGACUGAGACACGGCCCAGACUCCUACGGGAGGCAGCAGGAGGGAAUCUUCCACAAUGGACGAAAGUCUGAUGGAGCAACGCCGCGUGAG
rnacentral:rRNA from 1 species